GCGACCCCAGGUCAGUCGGGACUACCCACCAGAAUUUAAGCAUAUCAAUAGGCC
rnacentral:rRNA from 1 species